UACAGAGGGCUCAAGCGUUGUUCGGAUUCAUUGGGCGUAAAGGGUGCGUAGGUGGCGCCGUAAGUCAGGUGUGAAAUCUCGGAGCUCAACUCCGAAACUGCACUUGAUACUGCGGUGCUCGAGUACUGGAGAGGAGAUUGGAAUUUACGGUGUAGCAGUGAAAUGCGUAGAUAUCGUAAGGAAGACCAGUGGCGAAGGCGAAUCUCUGGACAGUUACUGACACUGAGGCACGAAGGCCAGGGGAGCAAACGGG
rnacentral:rRNA from 1 species